rnacentral:rRNA from 1 species
UAUCUCUGUAGAGUCUGCAUAUCAAUAAGCGGAGGAAAAGAAACUAACAAGGAUUCCCUUAGUAACGGCGAGUGAAGCGGGAAGAGCUCAAAUUUGAAAUCUUCAAGGUUCUACCUUGACGAAUUGUAGUUUAUAGAAGUGUUUUCUGUUAGUAGAGUGGCAAAAGUUCUUUGGAAUAGGACAUCAUAGAGGGUGAGAAUCCCGUAUUUGGUCAUUCUUUCUAGCUUUGUGAUACACUUUCAACGAGUCGGAUUGUUUGGGAAUGCAGUCCAAAAUGGGUGGUAAAUUUCAUCUAAAGCUAAAUAUUGGCGAGAGACCGAUAGCGAACAAGUACCGUGAGGGAAAGAUGAAAAGAACUUUGAAAAGAGAGUUAAACAGUACGUGAAAUUGUCAAAAGGGAAGCGUUUGACACCAGUGUUGUUUUUCCGAAAAUCAAUUACGAAUGUUUUGUUUUUGAGAAGUUAUGACUUCAUCGGCUUGCUUCUUUCUUUAUGAAACUUUCUUAAUGCACUUUUCGGUUAACAAGUCAACAUCAAUUCCUUUUGUUGUAAAAGGGUACGAUUGGAAGGUGGCUUUCUUUUCGGAGAAAGUGUUUAUAGCCUUGUGCCUUCUGCAAUCGGAGAGAUUGAGGUCUGCAGCGUAGAUCCUUCGGGGUUAGAUACAUUUGUGCUAAGUUAUAGCCUUUCAUAGACAACUUGUUGACUAUGAUUCAGUCAUGUAGCUUACUCGCUUAUGCUAUUUUACCUACGCUUAGGAUGUUGAUGUGAUACUGCGAGCA